UUCAAAACUUUAUAUAUAUGUAUAUUGCUUAUCUUGGUUGGGAUUAGUAUUUGAAUUGAAAGUAUUUUCAAAUAAGUCUCUCUGUUUCUUCAUGCGUGGCAGGAGCUAGAGAGACCAUUGAAAGAGUAGCUCCUGGAGCUUUGGCCAAGAAAUUUUUAGAGCAUAUUUAGGAACUCAAGUGUAUAGAAAGUAAUAUCGUCAGGUGUCCUCAUCUCGAGUUUGCUGAAAAGAUGAUAGCUGCAUUUGUUCAUGCGCUUUGGUACACCUAGGCCUGGGCGUUACAUGCCUGCUAUGUUACUGUUCUGAAGGAGAUAACAUUUCUGAAGCAUUUCUUCUAGCGGAGGCUGUAUCUAAGCUUACGGGACAAGUUCCAUGGGGAAGAAGGUGGGAAAUGGCUGAUACCGUAUUCGUGGAAGAGUAUGUAAUGUAUGGAGCUCCUCCGGAUAUGUCCAUGUUUUAAGACUGUUAUUGGAACUCACUGAGUCAGACACAUUUGUUGUUGUAUUAGUAAAAUCAUGAUCCAAUGAGAAGUUUGUGAACA